rnacentral:rRNA from 1 species
UACGUAGGGUGCGAGCGUUAAUCGGAAUUACUGGGCGUAAAGCGUGCGCAGGCGGUUCUAUAAGACAGAUGUGAAAUCCCCGGGCUCAACCUGGGAAUUGCGAUGGAGACUGCAAGGCUUGAAUCUGGCAGAGGGGGGUAGAAUUCCACGUGUAGCAGUGAAAUGCGUAGAGAUGUGGAGGAACACCGAUGGCCAAGGCAGCCCCCUGGGUCAAGAUUGACGCUCAUGCACGAAAGCGUGGGGAGCAAACAGG